AACCCAGCAGCAACACAAAUUUUUACCUCAUAAGUCUUAGUUGUCAAUCAGAGGCUGCAACCUUUUAACCCCUGCAGAGCUUUACAGAACAAGAGGGAACAUAGAACAAACCAAUACAAAGAAAGUAAUUUUAAAAACAUGUAGGGAAAGAGUCAUUCCUUCCCAACAAGAUCUAAAUGUAGAAGACACCCCUGCCCAAAGGUGAAAGCAGAGAUGAGGAAGCAAGAGAGGCCCAGGGUCAGGCCAACAAAGUGACUGGUUGUAAAUAUGCCUAACAACCUUAUCUAGGGGAAGAUACUACAGAGACUAGCUCCAGUAUAACCUAAUGGUCUGAUGAAGAAAUGAAACCACUUUGUUCUCACAUGUAUCCACUUGUGGAAUAUAUGGACCACUUAUUAUACAUCAGCAGAUUCAAGUAUGCCACUAGCUGUAUUCUGAUCAAGAAUCUUCAAUCAAUUCUCCUGGCUUCCUGACAAAUGUGCCUUUAUUAUGUACGUGGCUGCAAAUGUAUUUGUAGCAUUGCCUUCACACCAGUUGACAUGAUGUCACCUUGGGUUCAAAGAGUCUAUAUUGAAGUCUGCAGCAGGUUCAUCUCACACCAACACCCAUCACCUCUACUCUACAGUGUGGGCAACUAAGCACAAGAAGACAGCCAAGAUGGCAACAUCCUUCGCUCCACUUUGUUGGGUGACUCCAUCGUGUUUCCAAGCAGUAGGUCAUUCACAAACUGAUCUACUUCUUCCAGCCAACCCUCUACUGGUUCAAGGAAGCUCCUGGCAGCAACACUCCGCCACAAGGCUUUGAAGCUGGUGAUGCUGGCACCCCUUAAAACAGUCCCAAUCCCAAUUUCUUCACAAUGUUCUGUUUAUGGCUACAUGCACCGUCUUCACCAGAAAUCUAUUACCAGGUUUGCUCUGCUAUGCUUUGGCUUAAUGUGGAGCAUUUAACCCAUCUUAGUGCAAACCCACAUACAGCCAAAUUAUGCAUUGAGAUAUACCAGGAAAGCUGACUGUGGACAGGAUACACCCUAGUUACAGUACUGCAGAGGCAUGCUUCUUAAAAGCAGUUGAGUUUUAUUAAAGAACAGGGGUUUACAAGUGAAAAGAAGUGGUUAGCGACUCAGCAGAUUUGCUGGCAGUGAACUUCCCUUAGGGAACUGUUAGAAGAACUGCUCCAGAGUGCUUGGCUAGACACUCCAACUAUGCCUUGGCUUAGUGUGGGGAAUUAGCUUGGCUGGAGGGAGCAGUCCUGUUACAGUAUCAAUUUAAGCAAGUUUUGCAUUUUGAAAAUGGAGAGAAGGCAGAAAUGUAAUACAACAGAUUUAUUUGCAGAUGAAAGGAGUACAUGAAGGCAGAAGUUAGGCAAGGCAAUGAAAUCUUAACUGAUAGUCCUAACAAGAAUCUCACUGACAAUCAUUUUAGCUUAGGGUCCAAAUUGCAGGUUAAGGCUUGCAGUAGAAAGUACUUAAAGACAGGAGAAGAGGGAAGAGAAAGGGGGCAAGGAGACUUAAAGGGGCAGAAGGUUAGUUUUACCUAUCCUUGAUCCUGUGGUGCAUUAGGUGUACUUGCAGGUGCACUGACUGGUCUUCUCACAGGAAAAGACAGGAAAGUAGGGAAAAGAAAGGGUGAGGAGCAAAAGGCUACCACUCGCACCCUUGAAAACUUGCAGGGUAAAGGUCCAUCUGGAUUCUGAUUCUGCAGCCAUGUGGCUUGGCCAGGAGUACUUAUACUCCAAAACAUGCCUGGAAGCAAUUCAUAAGUCAUGCCCACUCCCUGGAGGGGCAGAAACUCAGGUAGAAUGAAGUUCAGAGUUGCAUGAACUGGUCAGUCUUGGGUGUGACUUGCCAAACAAAAGGCAAGAGUAGCGUGUGGAAAUGUACAUGGAAAUGUGAAUAACUAGGCUUAAGGCUUAUCUUGAGACAGAGAUGAUGUUCCAGGUGCAAAGAUAUAUAUUUUUGGCUUUUAA